CAGCCGUAAACAAUGUGCGUUAGGUGUGUCGGUAACCACGCGUUACUGAUGCGCCGGAGAGAAAUCGUGAAACGCACCACCUGGGAAGUACGGUCGCAAGGCUGAAACUUAAAGGAAUUGGCGGGGGAGCACCACAACAGGUGGAGCCUGCGGUUUAAUUGGAUUCAACGCCGGACAUCUCACCGGAUAAGACAGCUGAAUGAUUGUCAAUCUGAAGGUUUUACAUGACUAGCUGAGAGGAGGUGCAUGGCGUCAGUGACU
rnacentral:rRNA from 1 species